CAGUGUUACAGCUUUUUUACAAUUUACCUAGCAGGUUUUCCAGUUUUUAUCAGAAACCUCCU
ensembl:snRNA U7 U7 small nuclear RNA